GUAAAAAUCUAGUCGACCACGCAUGCGUAUUAUCGAACGUCCAAAUAAUGUUUCGGCGAGUGGCUCGACAGCUUCCACGACUGGGUAACAGGCACUCCACGGUGAUCGCGAACGCGUGUGUGAAUCGCAGGGGCAAGGUGACAGAUAGUCGAUACCAUGAAGAACUUUAUCCUGGACACAUCCCCACCUCUCCGAUUCAGAAGACCUUGCUGGCAGUGGGCUCGGGGAUCGCCGCACUGCAGGACCCCUACAGGCACGACAUGGUCGCAGUGCUCGGAGAAACGACGGGCCAUCCGGCCUUGCUAAACCUCAGGGACCGCAUGAGAAACGACCCCGAGGGAUACAGAAUUCUCACGGAGAGACCCAAGAUCCGCCUGUCCACACUUGAUUUGGAAAAGAUGGCCUCCUUACCCGAGGGAUCUUUUGGUCGGGAAUACAUCCGCUUCCUGGAAGACAAUCACGUGACGCCCGACUCGCGGGCCCACGUGAAGUUCGUGGACAACGAGGAGCUGUCCUACGUCAUGCAGAGAUACCGAGAGGUCCACGACCUGUUGCACACCUUACUGGGAAUGCCCACCAACAUGCUCGGUGAAGUUGCUGUGAAAUGGUUCGAAGCCGCUCAGACCGGGCUCCCCAUGUGUGCCCUUGGAGCUCUGUUGGGCCCGCUUCGGCUCAACGCCAGAAGUCUCCAGUCGCUGGUCACGUCUUUGGGCCCGUGGGCGGUGCGAAAUGGCCUGCAGGCUCGUUGUGUUCUGUGCGUCUUCUACGAGAGGCGAUGGGAGCAGAGCCUGGACGAUCUGAGAAGAGAACUCAACAUCCAGCCACCCCCAUAAAUGCUCACUGAGCAUUCCUUAACGCGUAGAAACACUUGAUGGACUUCAGGUGGGGAGUUGUGUGUGUGUGUUUGUGUAUGUGUGUGUGUGUGUGUGUGUGUGUGUGUGUGUCUGUGUGCGCCCGCGCGCGCACAUAUCUUCCAAAAGGGGCCAUAUUCCAAUUUAAUUUUAUAUUCAGUCUAAUUAGACAUUUUCACUGUUUUGUAAUAAAGUAGCUGCCGAAUUGUGGCUUUUAUUUUCAUCAUUUGUUUUUGCAGACAGCGGUACAAAUUUCAACCAUUGAACUCACCUUUGUGUAUCUCUCCACUAUUUAUGAACAUCUCUGUUGAAUAUUUUUGAAGAAUAUGUUUGUAAAGCUGGGUGUUCCGAAAAAGUUGACAUCUGCGCGUCAUAGCAUAGUCUUUUUUUCUUUUUUUCCCCCAUGUUUUCAGACAACCAGAAAAAAAAAACAAAUUUAGCAAACAUCAGUCCACUUCCCUUGACUUAAGACUGCACAAGGCAAAAGUUUUAGGAAGCUCACUGGUACUUUUUUAUUGAUUUAAUGACAGUUAAACAUGACUUGGCCAAUUAUGCCGUUAGGCUAGUGAUGUGAAGUAAAUAUUACAAUUUCAACGAUACGUUCAAACUAUCGACUUGAGAACAGAUGUUCAGUAUGCACUCCUCCUGUGACAUGCCACGUCUUCCGUUUUGCGUUCCACUUUUUUUUUGUCUUUAAUUUUUGGGGGGUCUAAAUCUGCUGUCAGUUAAUUUUUUUGUUUGUUUUUUAUUGAAUUUCCUGUGAAUUGCUCACUGCACAUUCUGAUUCACGAAGGUCUUUUCAAUGCUAGUGAAUGUCAUUGAAGUUAAACGUUUUUGAACAUCUUUAAAUUCAGAUCAUUUGAGCGAGAAAUGCCUGUUAGUACACCACAAAAUGAUGUCGGAAUUUUUGGAACACCCUCCUUUAAAUUUUUUUGUUAUUAUUAAUAUAUAUAUUUUUGGGUUAUCUGAUUAAAAAGACAUUUUUUUUCUGUUUAUCUGAAACUAGCUUUGUGGAGAUUGAUGCUUUUCAAUGGAAAGUGACCGUUUGGUACUUUUGGCAUCGCUAAUUAAUGACAAGAAAACAAUACUCGAUUAAAAUGAUGACGGCACUGUUUUUCAUGACUUAAGUCCUUCCAUUGGUAUUGUUGCGUGUGUAUGUGUGUCUGUUUUUUUCGGGGAAGGGGAGGGGGGGGAAUUCUAUCAAUGGAGCUCUAUUUAUUUAAAGUAUUUGUGAAACUUUUUUUUUUGUGGUGGUGAUAUUUGAAGGCAAACUGAAGUGGACAGACAGUAUAGGACGGUUUUCAGCUUUUUCUUUACUUUGAAAUCGUGUUAGAGCGAGGCACUACUUAAUUGUUUUUUUUUUUCGCACCCCUUCCAGGUUUCCUCCACAAAAAAAAACACUGUUCACUGAAAUCUUCCACAACGUUGAAAAACUUGAACCCCCGCCCCUCCUGUUUGCUUUUGGAGAUUUUUUUUUUUUUUUUUUUACAAAGUGAACCACCUCCUCGUUUUGUUGUGUGUCGACUUUUUGACUUGCGCCUUCACCCACAAUGCACAUGCUUAGUAUGUCUUCUCUGAUGAGUCCAGACACUUGGAGCAUGUGUCCCACGUUGACAUGCGACUCAUUGAUUGUGUAUUUUGUAAGUGUGCGUGAACGGGUUUUCACCACUGCGUUAAAAGCCCGGUCCCUUGUUAGCGCGUUUGUCCUAGACAGGGUGUGAUUUCAACUAUCACCCUGCGCUCUUUUUUUUUUUUUUUUGUAGGAAAAUGAACAUGAAUCACUUAGAAAUUAAGAGCUACAAUAUGUGACUACAGUCGGGCGAUAACAGUUGCUUUUCCUAUGUAAAAUGAUGCUCAAAUAAAAAAAAAUGAACAAAA